AACCCCAGCACUCUCUCUCUUUCUCUCGUCCAAAAAAAACUCUCUCACGAACUCACCUGCUCCUCUCCCCACGAUCUCCUCGGCGCCGCCACCACCCACGCCGGCCGGUUCCGGCGAGCACCGGCCGCGCGCAACACUCCCCCAAGCUCCCACCUUCCUCCGCUCCAAUCCCCAUGGAAGCCACCGCCGCCGCCUCCCUCGCACGGACCCUCGCCUCCUCGCCGCUCCCCCGCGGCUCCCGCCGUAGCCGUGUGCGCGUGGCCGUGGCGCCGGAGCGGCGGAGGAGGGGUAGGGCGGUGCUCGUCGUGGCGGCCUCGACGGGCAACUACGUGGUGCCGCUGGACGCCGCACCGUCGGGGAUCACGCGCCCACUCGUCGAGAUCUCGCGCGACCUCAACAAGCGUGUCCCAGAGACCAUCAUGCUCCCCGCCUCCCGCCGCGCCUCCGCCUCCGCUUCCGACCUCAACAAUUGCUGGUGAUUAGCAUAGCCGGGCGGGCGAGCUCUGCCGCUGCCGCCGGAGGCUCCAGCUCCUGCAAGUGUACGCUCGGACGGGAAGGGGGGAGUGGGCCUUGAACGAGUCCGGCGGCGGGAGGGCCCAGUAGCUGCCGAUGCAGAACGAGUGGGCCGUCCACGACAUGCUGGCGAGUUGGGGCGGCCGAAGUGACGCGGCCGCUUCGCUAUGGCAGGACGCCUACCAUGCCAGUCUGUCUCGCCCCUGGCGAUGCAGUGCCCGGCUCCAGCAGCGUCAGACUGGAUGGCAAGGCGUUGACAGAGGUAGUCCCCAAUGAGGCAAACUUAUGGCGGCUCAGCUAGUGCAAUAGACCUAAAAAAAGCGUCCAGGUUCAAGUAACAUACCUCUUCAGCACCGUGCUGUUGCUGAGGUACUUCAAGCACAACAACUUCUUGAGCUUCUUCCGCCAGCUCAACACCUAUAUGUAAGUUCGACCUCCUGCUGCUCUGCUUUGGGCCAUUUAUGCCUAACAAAUUGACUGAUUUAUGCCAAUUGCUAGUAAACUACAAGGACUAGGAAUGAGUAGAGCUUGGGAUUACUCGGACUACUUGAGUAUCUGCUCACCCUAGGAUUACCUAAAAUUUUGAUAUAUCCAAUUUUGCCUCAUGUUAACUGUCCCGGCGGCGGUUGUCAGCUGUAGUUCAGAAGGUGUGGCACGGGAACAGCAACAUAUUUAUAGAUCAAGCUAGCUAUGGGGUGAUUGACAGCAGUAGUGGUUUGGGAGCUAACAGUUGGGGGUGAAAAGGAGGUCCACUGCAUAUAAGUUUUGUGACAUUGAUUAGUGUUCCAUUUUCAUCUAAUUUUCACAUGUCGAGAGAUGUAAGUCAAGUACUGAAAGGAUGGACAUUCUGUUAUAAUAACAAAGAUAAUCGUUGCAUGUAACUACUGCAGUGGCUUGACCAAUUCGAAAUACACGGAACUUAUGAGAAGUACAAGGACCAGGGUUUUGAGAUCUUUGCUUUCCCAUGCAACCUAUUUGGUGGGCCAGAACUUGGCAUUGAUAAGGAAAUUAUUCAGAUUGCUUGCACUCGUAUCAAUGCCGAAUAUAUGAUUUUUUUACAAGGGUUCUGUUGGCGACACUGGCGGUCGUCGAAAGGUUCGUAGACUCAACAAUGUCGUAAGCAGUCGACCACACACCCCGAGCCCGAGAGAUGAUCAACAUGCAGAUACACUUGAUUCGGUGUGUGGCCAAAUCUGAAUCUUAAUGAUGUUCGGGUUUCAGAGUGCGGGGCACUUGUACGAUGGCUUCCUUCGUUUGCUGGUGGCGAGGCCUGCUAGAGACGUGGCGGCGGUUGCCAUCGGUCAGAUGUGGCUCGUCGAGGCUACCCCAUGUGUUUUGCCGUAGCUGCACACCGUGAGAUCAGGCCGGGCAGGUGCCGCAUAUUGACGAGUGAUCAAAUUUUCGGAUCGGACCAUAACAACUUAAGUAGGUAGCUGCUUAGCAAGUUGCUACGCGCAACACUCUGUGAUAGGAAUUAUACAUGAGUUGCCGCUAUAAUGAGAAACUAUCAGUAGAUACGACAAAUGUGUGAUAGAAUGGAAUUGGCUGAUUUUAUAUUUUUUAAUUCAUAAUAAUCUAGUAGUAGCGUGGGA